UACGGCGGGGGCAAGCGUUGUUCGGAAUUACUGGGCGUAAAGGGCUCGUAGGUGGCCAACUAAGUCAGACGUGAAAUCCCUCGGCUUAACCGGGGAACUGCGUCUGAUACUGGAUGGCUUGAGUUUGGGAGAGGGAUGCGGAAUUCCAGGUGUAGCGGUGAAAUGCGUAGAUAUCUGGAGGAACACCGGUGGCGAAGGCGGCAUCCUGGACCAACACUGACGCUGAGGAGCGAAAGCCAGGGGAGCAAACGGG
rnacentral:rRNA from 1 species